AAGGAAAGGAAGGAUCAAAAAAAAGUAAAAGAAAUGGAAGAUAUUACGAGCGUGUGACUUUUAAUGCAAAUGCGAAAAACUAAAAUAAAUAAAUCGGCAUUGGAUAAAAGGAUCAUUGUUGUAUAGCAUCAGCUCAAUUAAAGUUGCAUCUUAAUAAUAAUGGAAAUACAUAUGAAGGCAUUGCUGGACCCAUGUCCAGCCGAUUUCCGAUCUUCAGUCAGAGCCACAAAUGAGUGAGUCAGCGCCCACUGAAAGCCAAUUCAUGGAGUAUAGUCGGCGCUGGCCGCUGUCCGCUGCCCGGUUGCCAUGGUUCAUUAGAACCUAUUAAACCAAACCAAACAAAACAACCAACCGCCGGCCGGAGCUGAGUUCCAGCUACUCAUAAAAAUUUCGCAGCUCAUAAGCGCCAAAAAGGUAAGCCCAGAGCCAGAGCCAGAGCCGGACCCAUGUCCAGACCGAGACGGAGCUGGAGAACCAGGUGAACGAAGCGUACAAAAUCAUUUCCUAUUAAAGCGAGCGGACAUGGCAGCGAGCUGGGAGAUGGUGUUUUUUUCUAUAGCUGUAGUCGGAGUUGGAGUUGCAGUUGAAGAGCAUCUCGCAAGUCGUGCAAACGCUUUCAACGCAUGACCGCUGAAUACUUUUGUUUUUUUGGAGUGCGACGUGGCAAUCGAUGCCGCGUGGAUCGCCGUACCGCCGGAUCGAUGGAUCGUUCAUCAGCAUGCGUCGCAGGCGGCGUUGGCUUGUUGGUUGCUGAUCAAUCAACGCCUUUAAAAGUGACUGCGACUACGACGGCGAUGGCGACUGCGAUGGCGACUGCGACUGCGACUGCAGUUUCUUAUUACGAAUACUGCAGGGUACGUCGCGACGGGGCUCGCUUCAUUUUGGCAAAUAUAUUUUCGCGCAUUUCGCGACGUUUACAAAUUGCCGCCAUUAAUUAGGCAAAAAAUGCACGCACCGCCGCCGCCGCCGACGACGACGACGACGACGUCCAGUUCCAAGUCAACGUCGAAGACGCGCCGUGUAGGCGAGCCCAAAAAUCAGCUACCAGCCUGAGCUGGCAGUGGCAGCGGCAGAGGCAGCGGCAGCGACUGUGCCACUUGGACUGCGGCUUCAAGCUGCCAGGCAAAACACAUCCAACACAUAAUAAUCAGCGGGUGGACAGCAACAGGAUUGGCAUGCGCUUGAAAUUAAUUACCCCUCACCCUCGGGCAGUCGGUUGUUGUUGCUAAUUAAGUUGUUUGCAUUUUGAGUUAUUGAACUGCGUUGUUGAUGACGGACCGAGUUCUGAUUUUGGGCAGCAUUACGUGCCGCAAUGCGGCCCAGAACGGAAAUGCAUGCGAUGAGCGUUGGGAUUUAAUAAAUCGAAGGAAGAAUCUUAAUUUAGGACAGCUCCUAAGGAAAUACUAUAAUACUAAACUAAAUACUUUUUCUAUAUAAUUAUCAAGGUUGUAAACCUAACAAAGCUGUUCGGUGGAUUGACACAUUCGGAAUUCCAAUGCUUAGCCUUAAGGCUCGGCUUGUGAGCCUGUUAUUCAAAAGUCUUUACACAUUAGCUUGAAAAAUCUUUGGUUCUCCCCAUUCUUGACAAUUUUUCACUGCAACAAUUAACUCAAUUACAUUAAAAUAAUAAAUUCCCAAAUAAUAUGUCUUAUAUAAAUAUCUUAAAUAAUUGUAUAAUUUUGCAAUGAAUUUUAAAAUAUUUGCAAGUAUUCAAAGCUUUGGCUUAGCUUUUCUUCAUCUAAACAAUUCACUUUAUUUUGUGGUUUAUAGUAAAGAGAAAUUGGCAGCCUGGUGUUUAAAUGGUUUUGGUUCUAAAUCGGUUUGCAGCAUUUAUAAAACUAUUU